rnacentral:rRNA from 1 species
UAGGGAAUCUUCCGCAAUGGACGCAAGUCUGACGGAGCAACGCCGCGUGAGUGAAGAAGGAUUUCGGUUCGUAAAACUCUGUUGUUAGAGAAGAACAGCGCAUAGAGUAACUGUUAUGCGUGUGACGGUAUCUAACCAGAAAGCCACGGCUAACUACGUGCCAGCAGCCGCGGUAAUACGUAGGUGGCAAGCGUUGUCCGGAUUUAUUGGGAGUAAAGCGAGCGCAGGCGGUCAAUUAAGUCUGAUGUGAAAGCCCCCGGCUCAACCGGGGAGGGUCAUUGGAAACUGGUUGACUUGAGUGCAGAAGAGGAGAGUGGAAUUCCAUGUGUAGCGGUGAAAUGCGUAGAUAUAUGGAGGAACACCGGUGGCGAAAGCGGCUCUCUGGUCUGUAACUGACGCUGAGGCUCGAAAGCGUGGGGAGCGAACAGG